rnacentral:rRNA from 1 species
GACAGAGGGUGCUAGCGUUGUUCGGAAUUACUGGGCGUAAAGGGCGCGUAGGCGGCGUGACAAGUCACUUGUGAAAUCUCCGGGCUUAACUCGGAACGGUCAAGUGAUACUGUCGUGCUAGAGUACAGAAGGGGCAACUGGAAUUCUCGGUGUAGCGGUGAAAUGCGUAGAUAUCGAGAGGAACACCGGUGGCGAAGGCGGGUCUCUGGGCCGAUACUGACGCUGAGGAGCGAAAGCCAGGGUAGGGCAAACGGG